rnacentral:hammerhead_ribozyme from 1 species
AUCCAGCUGGCCAGUCCCAAAUAGGGCGAAAUGCGCGUUGUCCUGGAU